rnacentral:rRNA from 1 species
UACGUAGGGGGCAAGCGUUGUCCGGAUUUAUUGGGCGUAAAGAGCGUGUAGGCGGCCAGACAGGUCCGUUGUGAAAACUAGAGGCUUAACCUCUAGACGUCGAUGGAAACCGUCUGGCUAGAGUCCGGAAGAGGAGAAUGGAAUUCCUGGUGUAGCGGUGAAAUGCGCAGAUAUCUGGAGGAACAUCAGUGGCGAAGGCGACACCCUGGACUCAUACUGACGCUGAGGCGCGAAAGCCAGGGGAGCAAACGGGG